rnacentral:rRNA from 1 species
AACUGCGAAUGGCUCAUUAAAUCAGUUAUAGUUUAUUUGAUGGUUUUUGCUACAUGGAUAACUGUGGUAAUUCUAGAGCUAAUACAUGCGUACAAGCCCCGACUUCUGGAAGGGGUGUAUUUAUUAGAUAAAAAUCAACACUGUUGGUGAAUCAUGAUAACUUCUCGGAUCGCAUGGCCUCGUGCUGGCGAUACUUCAUUCAAAUAUCUGCCCUAUCAACUGUCGAUGGUAGGAUAGAGGCCUACCAUGGUUGCAACGGGUAACGGGGAAUAAGGGUUCGAUUCCGGAGAGGGAGCCUGAGAAACGGCUACCACAUCCAAGGAAGGCAGCAGGCGCGCAAAUUACCCAAUCCCAAUACGGGGAGGUAGUGACAAUAAAUACUGAUACGGGGCUCUUUCGGGUCUCGUAAUUGGAAUGAGUACAAUCUAAAUCCCUUAACGAGGAACAAUUGGAGGGCAAGUCUGGUGCCAGCAGCCGCGGUAAUUCCAGCUCCAAUAGCGUAUAUUAAAGUUGUUGCAGUUAAAAAGCUCGUAGUUGAAUUUCGGGAUUUGCACAUCGGUCGUGCCUUAAGGGGUAUGAACUGGUGUAGUGAAUUUCUCACCUUCUGGAGAACCGUGAUGUCCUUUAUUGGGUGCCACGAGGAACCAGGACCUUUACUUUGAAAAAAUUAGAGUGUUUAAAGCAGGCAUUUUGCUUGAAUACAUUAGCAUGGAAUAAUAAAAUAGGACGGCAUGAUUCUAUUUGUUGGUUUCUAGAAUCACCGUAUGAUAAUAGGGAUAGUUGGGGCAUAGUAUCAUUG